rnacentral:lncRNA from 1 species
CGUUCGUUUGGUGUGGGUGUGUAUUUAUGGAUCAAUAAAUGCAACUGAGUUCCUUCAGUGUGAGGAAGAAAACCCCAUCCAGCUCACCACAAUGCAGUGCAGGCUGAAGGAGGUGGCUGCCGUAGAAUCAUAAAAUGCUUUGGGUUGGAAGGGACCCUUAAGAUCACCCAGUUCCAACCCCCUGCUGUAGGUAGGGACGCCUCCCUGUAGCCCAGGUUGCUCACAGCCCCAUCCAGCCUGGCCUUGACAUGCAGUCUCCUGUUUUGUGGAGCAGGAGUGCAUGGAGGAAUGCCCCCAGCAAUGGGCUGCUGCCACAGCUGUGCUGCUGGGCUGUGCACUGCUAACCAUCACGGGGUCCCGAUGGCAGUGAGUGUUCUCCACCAACAGGAGAUUGCUGCAGAGAAACGCUUCCCUCUUGGCAAAAGCUGUGUCAUAACAAUGUACUUGUUCUAGGUUUAAAGUGUUAAUGAUGUGGUAUGCUGAAUUGGAUUUAAAGGUCCCUGAAGACCUCUGAAUCUCAGUAGCUAAUGAGGCUUACAGAAGGGAGCUCGAGAGAGGAAAACUUACUGGCAGUGAGCAGUGCUGCUGGCCUUGCUGAACUUCUUUCACCCUGAAGAAAAGCUGCAUGUUGGAGAAGGCAGACGUGUGCGCCGGAACAAGAGGAGUAAGGGCAGCGAGGGGCCAGAUGGUCCAAGCUCAGUUAAAAACAAGAAAAAGGGUAAGAAGGCUGGUCCUCCAGGACCCAACGGUCCCCAAGGGCCACCGGGCCCCCCGGGACCCCAGGGCCCCCCUGGCAUUCCCGGCAUCCCCG